AUCGAUGUUUUCAUCGAUGUUUUGACACCUCUACCCCAAGCACCCUUUUCGCAAAGUGACUUAGGUGGUCGAUGGCCGGCAAUCCGGUUGAGCGAGGUAGAGGAAAUGUUUUAAGUUGUUGCGAAAUGUUAAAUGUUCAAGCCCCCAAAAUAAAUUAUUACAUAUUUACAUAAGUCAAUAUAAUAAUUUCAUAACAGGUUUAAAAAAAUGAAAUAAUUUCAUUCGUACUCCGAUGUAGUGCCAUUAUUAUUUUACAAAGUCAAAUAAACAGAACACAUAAAAUAUGAAAUAAUAUAAAUAAAA